ensembl:lncRNA
UGAGGAAGUUUGCAGAAGCUCUUGCAGACAGAAAGCAGCAAACGCCAAAGAUGAAGAGAAGGCUGUAUGGAUAGAAAAAGAGAGGGUGGGGAGAAAGGAGAGCGACGAGUUUAGGUUUCCUUUCUCUUCAGUCUUUCUGUCGUUUUUUUUGCGCGCGUUGUCUCUCUUCUCUUCUUCUCUCCCCAGUUUUUCUCAACCUGUUCAUCUCCAGAAUGGAUGGAAGGCUAGUCCUUACCAUCCUGGUCCUGUGUGUCAAGAAUGUUGUAACCUUUGAAAAUACGACAUCCACCUCCCAACCUCUCACACCAUCCAACUCCACUCCUGCUACCCCCGGUCCCACCACUUCCUGUGUGUGUAAUAUCUCCACUUCCUGUUCCCCUCCGACCAAGCCCAAGUCUCCGCCACCUGCGCUGGGUGUUGUCAAGAUCAACUGGCAAGCAAAGUCCUGUAAGGGGGACAUACACCUGUGUCUCCUCUUGGGUGGAGACACCUGUCUCUCCACCCAUUCCUUACCACUCUGCUUUAACAGUUGGGCCAAUCUUAGCCUUGAACUGGCAGAAUCGUGUGAGAGGAAGGGCUGCGGGGGCUCCGCUAAGUGGACUGAGACCCCUGCUAGCUCUGAGGGUUACCAGAUCGAUAGGGAUGGAAGGGUUACCAAUAACUCCUGUACAACACUGAUAAUCCAAUGCGAAGUCGUCCCAGAUCAGUUAGUGGGCUAUAAGGUGGUGACUGGACUGCUGUGUGUUCUGGUGCUGGUGGUGCUGAUGGUGCGUUUCGGGCAGCCCUCCCUCAAGGCCCUCCGUAAGAGAUUGUCAGACAAGAGACAGAGUCGGUGGAUCGGACCUACGCAGAGCCAAAGUGUCUCCUACCAUAGAGGGAAGGCUGGACUCCAACUUAACGACAACACAGACAAGAGACACUCCUACCCUGGAUUGGAGAGGCUGACGGUGAACACUAGCCGAGAGCCGUCGUCUAACAGAAACAGUGAUUAUGACUCUUAUAACUUGUGAUCAUCAUCUUCAUCAUCAUCAGUCAUAUUCUCCAUCCUCUAUGACAAAAUACUGUACAUGUAUUUUUUAUAUUUUAUUAUAUAUUUUUAUGCACAUAAUAUCAUUUUUUGUUAUUGUUUCUGUGUGUAAUUCAAUCAUUCACUUCUUUUAUUGAAUAAAAAGUAAAGUUUGUUGUUGAAUAAAACGUUUGGACCUCAUACUGAUAACUGAACAGGAUGUUGUCAGUGAGAGAGAGAAAGAAAGAAAGGCAAUUAAAAGCAGGAUUAAAGAAAGAGGGAGAGAAAAUAACAUUGUGAGAAAGAACGGG